AUUGAACGCUGGCGGCAUGCUUUACACAUGCAAGUCGAACGGUAACAGGCCGCAAGGUGCUGACGAGUGGCGAACGGGUGAGUAAUGCAUCGGAACGUGCCCAGUCGUGGGGGAUAACGCAGCGAAAGCUGUGCUAAUACCGCAUACGAUCUAUGGAUGAAAGCGGGGGACCGUAAGGCCUCGCGCGAUUGGAGCGGCCGAUGUCAGAUUAGGUAGUUGGUGGGGUAAAGGCCUACCAAGCCAACGAUCUGUAGCUGGUCUGAGAGGACGACCAGCCACACUGGGACUGAGACACGGCCCAGACUCCUACGGGAGGCAGCAGUGGGGAAUUUUGGACAAUGGGCGCAAGCCUGAUCCAGCAAUGCCGCGUGCAGGAAGAAGGCCUUCGGGUUGUAACUGCUUUUGUACGGAACGAAACGGUCUGGGUUAAUACCCCGGGCUAAUGACGGUACCGUAAGAAUAAGCACCGGCUAACUACGUGCCAGCCGCCGCGGUAAAAC
rnacentral:rRNA from 1 species